AGGAGGUUCAGAAGGUUAAAUUUCACAGUGGUAUCAGCAGAUGUGCUCACCACCUUCCUGCCGUCUCUGAGACGGGGUUCCUGUGGCCUCUUGCUGCCUCCCACCUUCAGUUUUGCUGCUGCUGCUGCUGUUUCAGGGUUCAGGAUGCAGGAGGAAAUGGCCAUGAAGCAAUUGUUCCUUCAGCUCAGCCGUGCUCCUUCCCGUCUUCGCCUGGGCUGUACAGCACACCCUCCCACUCUCAUCUUAUCUUAGAACAACAAAAAAUGUAAUUCUGCUGAUGGAAGUAUUCCCUGAGCUGCAGGGCUGGAGAAAUAGGAUUUGUCCAUGUUGGCAAUUUAAGGUAAAGCUCCUUUCCGUUCCUCUAGCAGUGGAGCUGUAGCUGGGGUUUAGAGGAGGGGAUGCGUACCCCAAGCUGGAUGCUCCAUCAGCUCGCUUCAGAGCAGGCACUUCAAGCAUGUGGCUUAUAAAUAGGUCACAGGAGCUUGAUCUGAGAAGAACAUGUGUCCACACAGUGCUCUUGUACUAAGCUGAUCUGACCUCCAGAGGUUUCCCAUGUUGUGUUUAAAUGGUCAUGCUAUGAAAACCACUGAAGCAGUAGUUUGAACAUACUUUGUUUUAGGUCUCAGUGGCAUUCAUACAUCAAGAUGACUUGAUGACUACAGAAGGGUAAAACUUAAAAACCAGGUCUUCGCUAUGGAAAAAAUGAUUUUCUUUUUAUUUUGUAAAAAGAAUAUGUAAUCAUUAGGGGCUGGUUGCACUUGGCAAUUAUUAAUGUUACUUUAUUUUUCUUGAGCACAUUUUCAAUAGAAAAUGUAUCAUUUCAAGCAUUUCUUCAGAAACAAACUUCAGCCGUGACUUUGGACAAAGAGCAUCUGUUUUUUGAUCAUGCUAAAUGUGGAACACGGUGGCCAGAAGCUACGUGAAACUCCUUACGGGCUGGUUCCUGCUCUUUUCCCAAUGCAGCUAAUGGCGUGGAAUUGUAUCUCGGAAGACAUGUUCCUAAAACCAUCAAUAAUUCAGCUUUAAAUAUUGGAAGAAAGUUGGAUACUGAAAAACAAUAGCUGCAGGUUAUCCUCUUUGACCAAAUGUUAAUUCUUCUGGGCAAACAGAAGAUCUGAAAAAGAACAACUCUGGCUAUCUUUCUACGAGACUGCAAAAUAUUUCCUGCUUAGCUCUUCUGUCACGUGCCACUUAAGAUGUCGCAUUUCAAAUUGUAAAUCAAUUUACAAGUUGGAAAAGUGAUAUCACUGAAAAACAUUUUUGCAGGAUUGCCUAACUUCUUCCAUGCAAAUAUAAUAAUAGUACGUCUCUCGUGCAAAUAUAGAAAAGAGUGGUCAUGGACUAUUUUGGGAAAAGCAUACUCACCAGGUGGACAUAGAGAGAAUAUUCAGUCGGCCACUGAGGAGCUGAAGAACAGUAAUAAAUAUUACUAAAGAUGGGUAUGGAUGAAGAUUAGCCUAUUCCUUCAGGAAAACUAUCAAAUUAAACUUAGAAAAAUGUUGGUACACUCACAACAUAAAUCAUGUGCUCUUCUGCAAAUGAACAGUAAAUGAAAAAUAGAGGAUAUGUGUCAUCCAUACUUUAUAGUGUUGACUUCAUUUUCUCAAGUAUGUAGGAAAGAUUUUGAUGUGUGUAUAUUAAUAUUUCUCUAUUGGCUAAAGAUUCAUUUAAAACAAAACAUAGCUCAAAGCUUUUCUGAAAGUUGUAAGUGUUCUGCUCCACCUUCCACCAAGUCCCAUGGAGUUGAACUGAGUUCUGUAACUGUGUGCUUGGUGUCAUCUCCCAUGGUGGUGCACUGUGAUCCCUCCCCUGGCUCCAAAGCCCUAACUGAACUGUGGCUGAAGGACUGAAUAUGGUAUUAAUGCAUGGCUGCUGCUGCCUGCCAUCCUUUCGGUACUUCUUCAAAACCCAGGUAAAGCAUUCUGGAUCUACAGAGUGCUCCUCCAGGUGCUUGAACUGUAACCAUGUCCCUAAAUAUUUUUUUUUUAAUAUGUGCAAGUGACUAAAAAUUUUACUCUGAUCUUUCAAAAAAUAGGGAUUUUAUACACCCCCCAAGGACUAUGAAAUUUACCCAGAAAAGUGGAAUCUGUGUUUACCAUUAGAUAUGAACACUUUUAUAACUUUGGUUAACUAGAAUUACACAAUAUUGGAUUUAAGAUUGUUAACAGUAAAUACUUCGAGAAGCAAAAUAUGGAGCUAAAAAAAUCUGAUUGUGUUUGUUUAACUGAUUAGUAGUGUUUAUGUAUUUUGUCAUCCAAGUAUUGUUGCAGAACAAAGUUAUAUUACGUAGAAUUAGGAAUGCAUAAGCUUCCCUUGAGCUAGUUUUGUCUAGGGAAGGCAUGCAGCACAACUUGCCACCUAACAGAUUCUUUUAAAAUGCAUUUCCUCAUCAAAGUAUGCCUGGUAUCUUUGUUUCUGGCAGCUGUAUUCUCAUUGUUCUUUUGUCAAAUAACAAUUUUUUACUUUUGCAGACUGUAAUUACUAGUGUAGUAAAAAGAGAACAAAUUCUGCAUUAUUUGCGGCCUUCUGGCUUCACUUUUAUUACUGAUUAAUUACUGUAGUUUAGCAGGACCUAGGCAUAAGGACCAGUAUAAGUCAAGGUCUUCAACUUUAUUUGAAAGUAGUGCAAAUUAAGUCCAGUAGGGUUUUUUGGUUUUGUUUUUUUGAGUGCAUUUUGGAAGCAUAAAAAUAUUAGCCUACUUCUUAAAUGCAUCGUAAUUGCUUUCCGUAGGAGAGUCUGCAGGGUGAAAAACUCAACACUUUUUCCAGAGAAUGAUGCAAAAUAUAGCUUUUGUGGUGACAAAUAGUUUCCUUCACAAAUGAAAGUUCUCUCCGUCUGUGAAAGACACCCACAGUUGGGCACUUCCAGUUUCAUAUCUCUGAGCCGGGUCUGGCUUCCCUGAACUCAAGAUAUUUUCCACAAUUGAAGGAGGAAAUCGUGUGCUGCAGUGCCACUCGUGUCCUUAUGAGCUUUGGGGUGCUCACUGCUAUACCUCAACCAUCAGUUUUUGUAAAUAGGCUUGAAAUUCCAUGUGGCUUCAUUCCCACCUGGCACUCUGUCUGUACUGCUCAAUCCUUUAAGAAAUUCAUCCAUGGGGGGAUCCAGAUACCUCUGCCCACAAGGAAACACGUAAGCCUUUAUCAAGCCACUGGACGUUUGUGUAAAUGAAUCAGACCUCUGGUGUACCCAUGGAAAUGUCUUCCUUUUCCGGUAAGGCAAGCAAGGAGUUGAUUAAGGGUCGAAGUCCACUGAUGAGUAAGUUCUAAAAAAACAUGAAGAAUGAAGUAUUUUGCACCAGUCUGAAAUAUGAAUUCCUACAAGCAGAUAAGGCAAGCAGUUCUGGAGAACUAAAAUGCUCUGAAAGGUCUGGCCCCAGCCUCUCUUUCUCUGUCCUAUUUUGUAUGGGAAUAGUGUGUUUUUUUGGAGAGUGAAGGUGGGGAUGCAUUGGGGAGUGAUCCUUCAGGGAGGGAGCUGAGGGAUGGAGACCUGCCCGCUGGCACGUCCAGGACCCUGGUAGAGGGUGAGGGGGAGGCAGGGUGUCUUGGAGGUGGACAGGCUGCAAAAAGAAAAAAAACACAUUUCUCAUUACAGCCCCUAGGAACAUCCCACAUUGCCUUCUCAUCCCUUCCCAUGGGUCCCACUGCUCUGUCCUCCUUUUCCUUCUGCAGUACCCUCCCCUGUCCCCCACAUGUCCCUGAUUACACUCUGAAAUUGCACCCACUGCUGCAAAAAGUCUGGUGUGGGGCAGCAAAAUUGAGUUUUGCUUAUGCUGCUUGAGCUGGCUGUGGUCUCAUAGGCAGGAUUAGUUCCACACAUGACGCAGGACCACAGCAGAAUCCCAGGCUCAGCCAUGGGCCCUUGGCCCCGCAGCCCCCUUGGAGGCCAGACCCCCUUCCUGCUGCAGGAGAGGUGGCUGCAAUGAGCCUGGGGGGUCUUCUCCACCUUGCCUCUUCCCUAUCCCCCCGGCUCCUGUGGCAGCAUGACCCCCCCCGCCUGACUCACUGACCCACAGCACACCAGACAUUGUUCAUGCACUGUAGAGCCCGACACAGACAGUAUAACGGAAUGGGCUAAUUAAAAAGGCAGCAUUUAAAAUGCCAGACCAUGGUUGCUUGGAACUGUAAUCCAACUUCGGUAUUAUUUUCGAGCUUAGAUUUUUGAAUCCAAAAUUCCAUGUGACGGAAGAGAUGGGUAUUUAAACAGAUGUCUGCAAUUUCUUUAAAAAAUAGAGAUUGAGUUACAGAUGGUAGAAAGGGCCUGAGAAUUAAAAACUCCUGAGCUACAAGAAAAUUUACAUGUGAGCAAAAUGGUUUACUGAAAUGAAUGGUCGUGAAAUUCUCCAUGUUUGAAAAUUAAGGUUCUUUCACCAAAAAUCUGAAUAUCUUUUCUCUUCCAUAUUAUCUGCUUCUCUACUGGUAGCCUUGGCUGUCACCAUCAUUGUCACAGUCAAGUCGCAAUAUGAGGGUCCUGUUUCUAACAGACAGGGUAUAUAGUUCUUUCCUUCUCCUAUCUCUUGUACAAUUUGGACUGCCAGGAACAAAAAUUUUCAUCUGAAUUAGCUUAAAAAGAAAAUUAAUCUACCUCGUCUGUGUAACCAGUGCCUGAUUGCUCUAACUUCCAUUUUAUAAAUUACAAAUAAAUGGAAUGUUGUGGUGUGAGCCUGGAAGGAAACCAAAGUCAUCAUCUGUACUCGCAGAUGAAAUAGAAUUUAUUUUUUUCUUCUUUUGGGCAUUUAAAAAGAAAACGCCCAAAAUAAACUUCACGUGAAAAAGCUGGUAACUUCUAAAGUGACAUAUGAAAUGCGAAGUGCUGCAUAUUGGAAAGGAAAAACUGAACGCAUUUGGUACAAUUUUGAAGGAGCAAUUCAGGAUUCAGCUCACCAGCUGGGAGACCUGUGCAUUGCUGUGAUUCAGUUUAUGAAGAUCUCCACUCAUGCAUAUGUGCUCAAAAAAAAGCAGUACUAGGAUGUAUAUGAAACAAGUACAUAGACUCAAAUGCAGGCUGUAGGGAGACUUUUACAUGCUCCUUACAUCCAUACAUGCAUACUCCUCACCUACUCUGCAGAGUCCCAGUCGGUCCACUGCAAAACCAGUUGAAAUUUGCAUGAUUUCAGAGAAGAGCAGCAAGACCCACUAGGUGCAGAAAAAAGCUGUCAUGUGAAGAGCGACCAACCUCAUUUACUUUACGGCGGAGUAGGCAUAAUCAAAGUGUCUACAUCAAUGAGAACAUUAAGAAGGAGAAUGGGGAGCAUCUGUUUUCUCUAUCUUACCGUGUAAGUACAGAGAAAUAGGUCUGUUAAAGGGAAUGAGGUUUGCUCCAAGCAUGGAACCACCCUUACAAAUAUUCAGAUUUAGUGUGGAUUCCUGGAUGUGUCUCAGGCUGGAUUUCUAGUAGACCAAAGUGCAGAGGAUGCCUAGAGGAUCUGUCCCAAAUUGUUUAUUAAUGCUGACAGAUGCUCUCUGACUAUGCCAGUAUUAUUAGAAAUCCAUCAGCCUCUUGCAAUUUUGCAGCCUUCAACACUGUGCUGGGUACUUACAUUCAGGGCCUGGAGACCUGUGGUGGCUGGUAGGGCAUUAUUCUGGUUUUGCUGGUUUUCUUUAUGUGUCUGGUUUUUCUCACUAAAAUUGUAUUUAAUAUUACUUUUUGUUAGCUGUGUAUUUGUCUUCAUUGAGAAGGCAGCAUAUACCACAGUGCGAGAAUGACAGCUCUUUGCAUUUACAUAAAAAUCUGCUUUGAACUGAUAUUUGCAUAUUUUACAGGACAACUUUUUGAAAGUGAGGUAGAACACGAGUGUACCUUCUAUUACUCCACUUAGACAGGAGCCUCCUGGCACUAAGUAAUUAUACAUGUAAGAAUAAAUGGCAAAGAAUAAUAAGAGAAUGUUCAACCUACUCUUUAAAGAUGAUUGACAAAACGCUUUCAAAAAUGGGCUUCUCCUUUUUUGCUUUUAAAGACACAGAAAGUACUCCUAAAUGACUGUUCUUGGAUUAUUUCUGGAGGAGAAUGGAGAGGAGAACUGCUUUUACCUUAGAGGAAAACUGUUUUUACCUUAGAAAUCACAUGAAUGUCAGCUUUGGAGGUUUUUCUGUCUUGCUGGAGGACUUGUUGAAGGUCUCAGAUGUUUAUUGUGAGCUCUGACAUUUUAAUUGAAAGGACAGGGGUGUUGAUUUUUUUAAACAAAUAGACCCUUUGACCAAAUUGUUUAUUAGAUACUGGAUUAAGUAGGUUUUAACAACAAAAAUCGUAAAUCAGUGUUUCAGCAGUCUGACUUAAGAUCCUUUCUUUUCUCAUUUGCUCAUCUUUAAAAUUUUAUAUCCAGUGAUAUUAUAAUUACAUUAAUUCUCCAUUUGUCAGGGGAUUUUGAAAACUAAUUCUCUGUUUCAAAUGUAAAAAUCAAGAAUUCCCCAAAGCUUUUUUGGUUAAACUUCUGGAUAACAUUUAAAGCUUGAAAAUGGUUGGUUAUUUGUCAAGGAAGAAAAAAAAAAAGGGAAAUGGCAGAGUUCUGUUGGAGUAAAAAAAUGCAAAUUUCAUCAGUCUAGCUGGAAAAAAAGAGAAAAUCACAGUUUUGAAUAUUUUAUUUAAUACUAUCUGCCAUGGGAAAUAUGGAGAAAACUGGCUUGAAGUAUAACAGUUGAAAAAGACUAAACAGCAGGUUUUCUGAAAUAAAAUUAUAUCUAAAAUAAAAUAGAGUGGCAAAAGAUGACAAUAGUGAAAGUCAAACAAAAGGAGAGAACAAAAACCCCGAGAGAGAGGAAAAGACCGGUGAGCUCUUUGCUUUUCAGAAUGCAGACUGGGCACAUAUGCCUGAUUGCCAGAUCAGUUUUCUGAAAAGGAUAUCUACCCUGUAUCAAGAACUAAAAAAAUUUAUAUCAUUAGGAGGGCCAUGAGAAUAGGAGAAAUUUCUCAUCUAAAGAAGUUACAUCCAUUUACAGAAUGUGGAUAUUUUUAUUGCUCAGCUUGAAUCAUGCCGAGGGGUCUUGUGCCUUCAGUAUUUUGAGUCUUCCUGAACCGUGCCACAGUAAUAAGAGCACCCUUGUGAAUACCAAAUGAGGACUGAAUUACCAUCAUGUACACAUCCUGCAUCGGAGCCACAUCGGAAGUCAAAUAUCAUGUCACAUAUGAAAGCUUAAGAACUGAUUAAUUUUAAUAGCAUAUUUAUAGUUCUCAUUUACGGAGAACUCAAAAUGCUUUAAGAAAAUGGAAUACUAAAUUAUACUGGAAUAACGUGAAUCAAUGGGAACUAUACAUGAAUUAGGACUCUUUGUGAUGAUGGAGGAGUCCAAGAUGGAAUCUUCUGUAGAGCGAUCACUUCAUUCAAUAUUGAUAGUGUUAAACGGUUUGCAUGCGAUCUGGGCCUCAUUCAAAUACAUGAGACAUUUACGGUUGACUUCAGUUGAGGACAGGACUUCAUCCUGUGUUUGGCAGAGACAAGAGGACAGCAAUGUUGCACCACACUUCAGAAAGAGGGAUAUCUCAUCCAUUUGGAAGAAUAGAGGGAAUUUCAGACAAAGGGAGCAUGCUUACAGAAACCCAAAUAUAAGCAGAAAACUGGGUUAACUUGCUGUCUGCCAGACCACAUGUCUCAGGGUCCUUGAGAAAUGGUACCACAACUCUGUCUCUUCUAGAAGACAGUUCUGAAAAGAUCAUAAAUAAAAUGGGAAUACCUUAUGAAAAAAAAUUAUAUGCGAAAAUUUGUAUCAUGUGAAUUUCACAGCCAAAAUUACUUCCAUAAGCUUAAGCUUUGUUUUUGUAAUUGGGGAUGAAAAUACACUCUUUAA